rnacentral:rRNA from 1 species
UACGUAGGUGGCAAGCGUUGUCCGGAUUUACUGGGCGUAAAGAGCGCGCAGGCGGUCGAUCAAGUCGCGUGUGAAAGCCCCCGGCUCAACUGGGGAGGGUCACGCGAUACUGAUCGACUCGAAGGCAGGAGAGGGUAGUGGAAUUCCCGGUGUAGUGGUGAAAUGCGUAGAUAUGACACAGAACACCGAUUGCGAAGGCAGCUCACUAAAUUGUAACUGACGCUGAGGCACGAAAGCGUGGGGAUCAAACAGG